rnacentral:rRNA from 1 species
CCUGGCGGCAAUAGCGCUGUGGAACCACCCGAUCCCAUCCCGAACUCGGCAGUGAAACGCAGCAGCGCCGAUGGUAGUGCGGCAUUCGCCGUGUGAGAGUAGGUCACCGCCAGGC